GAAGCUGGCUAGGCAGUCGCCGCUUUGCAGCAGCAAUGUUGUGAAGGGGAGGAAAGUCCGGGCUCCAUAGAGCAGGAUGCCGGUUAAUGGCCGGACGCCGUGAGGCGAUGGAAAGUGCCACAGAAAAUACACCGCCGAUGGCCGGACUUUGCCACCCGCAAGGGUGGCAAAGUCACCCAGAAAGAGCUGGUGCGAAAGCCCCGGCGAGUUUUGGGCAAGGAUCAGGUAAGGUUGAAAUGGCGAGGUAAGAGCUCACCGCGCUGGCGGCAACACCAGUGGCAGGGUAAACCCCAUCCGGAGCAAGACCAAAUAUGCUGGCUAUGACGUUGCUCGCGUCGUCAGCGGGUAGGUUGCUUGAGCGUCAGGUAACGAAACGCCUAGAGGAAUGACUGUCCACGACAGAACCCGGCUUAUCGGCCAGCUUCACCU
rnacentral:RNase_P_RNA from 3 species